AACUAACGCUGGCGGCGUGCCUAACACAUGCAAGUCGUACGAGAAAGUCCGCUUCGGUGGAUCAGUAAAGUGGCGCACGGGUGAGUAACGCGUGGAUAAUCUACCCCUCAGUUGGGAAUAACGUACCGAAAGGUGCGCUAAUACCGAAUGACACUGCACAUCUUCUGUUGUGUAGUCAAAGAUGGCCUCUGCUUGCAAGCUUUCGCUGAGGGAUGAGUCCGUGUACCAUUAGCUAGUUGGUAGGGUAAUGGCCUACCAAGGCAACGAUGGUUAGCUGGUCUGAGAGGAUGAUCUGCCACACUGGAACUGAGACACGGUCCAGACUCCUACGGGAGGCAGCAGUGAGGAAUAUUGCGCAAUGGGGGCAACCCUGACGCAGCAACGCCGCGUGAGUGAGGAAGGUUUUCGGACCGUAAAGCUCUGUCGAGCGGGAAGAAAUGCACGAUGGCUAAUAUCCAUCAUGCUUGACGGUACCGCUAAAGGAAGCACCGGCUAACUCCGUGCCAGCCGCCGCAGUAACAC
rnacentral:rRNA from 1 species